GUGAAGACAUUGGCAAUGAGGUCCUUCCUGUGGAUUCUUGUUUGAUCCCAGACUCAACUGAGAUUGAAUUUCUCAGCAGCUCUGACUGAGGUAUGUGCCUGUGGUUGGUGGGGUGGGGGUGGUGCAGACUCAGGGCCAGAUGUUAUUUGGUGUGGAGAAGUUGAGAAGUGUGAAGUUUCCUUCAUCUAAGAUUGAUGGGACAAGUGUCCUGGGUGCUGGACCCUGGAGGCUGGUCUGGACUUGGUAGGAACAUUUGUGCAGCUGGGUGUCUGCACCACAGAUUCACUACAAGUCCGACUGGUUUGGAGAUGUGGUAUGCAGAUGACUGGUAUGGAGGUUCCUUAAAAACCGAAAACAGAGCUAUCAUAUGAUCCUGCAAUCCCACCCCUGGGCUUAUAGCUUAUAGCUACAUAAGCUUAUAGCUACAUAAAAAUAUAGUCCAGAGGAUAUAUGCACCCCAGUGUUCAUUGCAGUGCUAUUGACAAUAGCCAGCACACGGGAGCAACCUAAAUGUCCGUCGUCAGAGGAAUGGAUGAAGAUGUGGUACAGAUAUACAACGGAAUAUCAUUCAGCCACAAAAAAAGAAUGAAAUAGUGCCGUUUGCAGCAACAUGGACGGGCCUGGAGAUGAUCACACGAAGUGAACACAGACUGUGGCCCUCUAGGCUCCUCUGUCCAUGGGAUUCUCCAGGCAAGGAUAUUGGAGUGAGCUGCCAUUUCCUUCUCCAGAGGAUCUUCCCAACCCAGGAAUCAAGCCCACGUUUCUUGUGUCUCCUGCAUUAGCAGAUGGAUUCUUUACCACUGAGCCACCAGCGAAGCCCACAGAAUAGAUACAAGUAUGUGUAUAACUGUGCAUCUCAAACUAACACGACAUUAAUCAACUCUGUGCCAAUCUAAAAUAAAAAGUUAAAAAAACCCCCAAAGGUAUAAAAGAUAAACAAUGAAAAGUAAAAAACAGAAAGGAGGGAGGAGCCUGGAAGGUGAGUUUAAGGAUAGUAUUUCAGACUCUGAAUGACUAAAAGCAGCAGUCACGACCAUCACGACACAGUAACUUUCCGGAAUAAGACAGAAUCGAACUCCGCACACCUGAAACCCUUCCCGGAGAGAGAAGGGUGUGCAGGGCCCUGUCAUGAGUGAGGAUGCGGUCAUCCUUCCUGCCCAAGCCUGG
ensembl:lncRNA